AUUCUGGCCAUGCAAGAACUGGGAUGGUUUUAGCUUUCAGGAAUUGUGUACAGAUCCUUGCAACAUGGGGCCGUGCAUAAUGCUUCUGCAACAUGAGGUGAUGGUAGUGGAUGAAUGGCACAACAAUGGCUUCAAGAUCUCAUCACAGUAUCCCUGUGCAUUCAAAAUGCCAUCAAUAAAAUGCACAUUCUUUGGUUAUGCAAACUGAUUGUUGCAGCAGAUGUCCGGGUGGCUGGUCUCAGACGAUCUUGGAGGUGAAGAUGUGGAGGUCCUAGGCUGGUGUGGUUACACAUGGUCUACGGUUGGAUGUACUGCCAAAUUUUCUGAAAUGCCUUUGGAGACUGCUUAUGGUAGAAAAACAUUCAAUUCACAGGCAACAGCUCUGGUGGACAUUCCUGCAGUCAGCAUGCCAAUUGCACGCUCCCUCAAAACUUGCGACAUCUGUGGCAUUGUGCUGUAUGAUAAAACUGCACAUGUUGUUGUGGCCAGCCUAAGGCACACCUUUGCAAUAAUCAUG